ACGGAUCCAGAGUUUGAUCAUGGCUCAGGAUGAACGCUGGCGGCGUGCCUAACACAUGCAAGUCGAGCGAGAAAUUAAUUAAGGAAUCUUCGGAAGAAUUAAUUAAUGGAAAGCGGCGGACGGGUGAGUAACGCGUGGGCAACCUGCCUUUCACAGAGGGAUAGCCAAAGGAAACUUUGAUUAAAACCUCAUAAUGCUAAUUUACUGCAUAAUAGAUUAGCCAAAGAUUUAUCGGUGAAAGAUGGGCCCGCGUCUGAUUAGCUAGUUGGUGAGGUAACGGCUCACCAAGGCAACGAUCAGUAGCCGACCUGAGAGGGUGAUCGGCCACAUUGGAACUGAGACACGGUCCAAACUCCUACGGGAGGCAGCAGUGGGGAAUAUUGCACAAUGGGCGAAAGCCUGAUGCAGCAACGCCGCGUGAACGAAGAAGGCCUUCGGGUCGUAAAGUUCUGUCCAUAGGGAAGAAAAAAAUGACGGUACCUUUGGAGGAAGCCCCGGCUAAAUACGUGCCAGCAGCCGCGGUAAUACGUAUGGGGCAAGCGUUAUCCGGAAUUAUUGGGCGUAAAGAGUGCGUAGGUGGUGGCUUAAGCGCAGGGUUUAAGGCAAUAGCUCAACUAUUGUUCGCCUUGCGAACUGGGUCACUUGAGUACAGGAGAGGAAAGCGGAAUUCCUAGUGUAGCGGUGAAAUGCAUAGAUAUUAGGAGGAACACCAGUGGCGAAGGCGGCUUUCUGGACUGAAACUGACACUGAGGCACGAAAGCGUGGGUAGCAAACAGGAUUAGAUACCCUGGUAGUCCACGCCGUAAACGAUGAGCACUAGGUGUCGGCCCCAAAAGGGUCGGUGCCGCAGUUAACGCAUUAAGUGCUCCGCCUGGGGAGUACGCACGCAAGUGUGAAACUCAAAGGAAUUGACGGGGACCCGCACAAGCAGCGGAGCAUGUGGUUUAAUUCGAAGCAACGCGAAGAACCUUACCAGAACUUGACAUCCUUCUGACAGGUCCUUAAUCGGACCCUUCUUCGGACAGAAGAGACAGGUGGUGCAUGGUUGUCGUCAGCUCGUGUCGUGAGAUGUUGGGUUAAGUCCCGCAACGAGCGCAACCCUUAUCAUUAGUUGCCAUCAUUAAGUUGGGCACUCUAGUGAGACUGCCGGGGACAACUCGGAGGAAGGUGGGGAUGACGUCAAAUCAUCAUGCCCCUUAUGUUCUGGGCUACACACGUGCUACAAUGGUCGGUACAGAAAGCAGCGAAACCGUGAGGUGAAGCCAAUCUCCAAAACCGAUCCCAGUUCGGAUUGUAGGCUGCAACUCGCCUACAUGAAGUCGGAGUUGCUAGUAAUCGCAGAUCAGAAUGCUGCGGUGAAUGCGUUCCCGGGUCUUGUACACACCGCCCGUCACACCAUGGAAGUUGGGGGUGCCCAAAGUUGGACAAUUAAUCGUUUACCUAAGGCAAAACCAAUGACUGGGGUGAAGUCGUAACAAGGUAACCGUAAGCUUCAC
rnacentral:rRNA from 1 species